AGGAAGGAUCUCAGCGCCCCUCGGGGCUUCUCGAGGCGCACAGGUAACCUCACCUGACCGCCAGUGCCCUGCAGGAGGACGGGCAGCCGGGAGCAGACGCGUGGAUAGUUGAGAGAGAAAGAGAUUUAGAACUUCGGCUGAAGGGAAUGCACAUACUGCCUGCUGUGGAUGCGUGCAAAGAAGCAAGGAAGAACACCUCGUAAAAGGGACUCUGUGCCUCAGCUCGGGUCUCUGUGCCUCAGCUCCUCCAUCUAUAAGAUAGAGAUGCCGAACGUGACCCCAUCCUCCCCUGUGCAUGAAUGAGAGGUGUCAGUUCAUAGGGGGACUUUAUUAAGACAAGGUCAUAAUUUUACUCUUCCCCGGAGAGAAGGAAUAUGCAACUGGAUCAUCUCAUCAGUCCUUCUAGACGAGGCACUACUCAUUCUAAUCCUGUGGGAACCCAGGCUGAUGGAGGCUUCAAUUCAACAUGGGACAGGGCCCAGAACCCAGAUGACUGAGAGAGCUGUUCUUGAACUGAAGCUCUUUAUCUGCCGGGUCAGUCUUGGUCGUAUCCAUUCAUUACACACACAGCUGAUGACUGAACUGCUUCUACCAUUGGGCUCACCAGUGACCAAAAGUAUACUUUUGCAAUCUCUCCAAGAGCUUUUAUCCUGUAGCUUCCUAAUGGGAGUUUGGUUGCCAUAACAACAGCCAAGCUCUGCCAGAAGGAGAAAUUCCUUGUAUAAUGAGCCCCCAAGACCUUGUGAAAAUAAAGAAAUCUCAUUUAAAAUGGAGCUGGAAAGCCCUGAAGGGGGAGCUCUCAUGCAUGUACCACUCUGCAGUCUGUGUAACCAGGGGAAGAAGGAAGAUAAGAAUUACUCCAGCAAGGGAGGACAUUUUUCACAUAGGAAUUUUGUCUCUUGCUUUUAAGAGAAGGAAGGAAGAUCCCUCCCUGCCCCAGCAGCAUCGCAUUAACCCCCACAUGCAGCCAGUGAGAAACCACAACCUCCAACUCUUGUUCUUCUCCAAUAAACUUUUGUUCUAAGCAAUCCUCCCCAAUUUCCUCCUAAAACCCAAAAAAGCUGACCUUCCCUUUGUCCCUUUGGACUGGCUGGUGGUUCACCAUGGCUUGCUUGUCCCAAAUUGCGAUUCCUCUGUUAUUUCUGAAUAAACUCAGGGCUUUUUUGCUGAAAUAAAAUUACUCUUUUCUCUAUUUAAAAUUAACAACUUUAAAUUGAGUAUCGAUCUUUGCUGGUUUUGGCCUAAAAGACUCAAAAUUUCUUCAGUAGCUAUCAGUUACUAGGAAAUAUUUAUAGCAUUUGUAUCAUGUUAAUCACAAAGUGAAUCUGACUUAUUUCUUCUUAAACACCCAGCUAAUCCGGUCAUAGAGAGAUCGUUGCGUUCCUGGGUCUCCACAGUGGAGUCUCGAAAAAAUCUGGCCAGUCACACAUACCACCAUCCAAAGCUUCUCAGUCUUACCCCCCAGUUUUGUGUGAGUGAAGUCAUUGCUCUUCUCAAGCUCUUCUCCUGGCCUGUUAAAUCAAAUAAAACUCUCAAACUGGAAGUUGGAGCCCUCGCCCAUAAACUACCAUAUUUUCCCUCCUGCUCUAGCUCAUUAGGUAUGGUGUUUAUGCCGUUUAGUUCUCUUUCAUACCUUCCCGUGGUCAGGAUGGUAAUGAUUCAGUCCUCAAGCCUGGCCAGACUGAGACUUCCCUGGAAUUUUUGUCAAGAAUCACAUAGGAAGACACUCUUUUGCUCCAGAGGCUGCUAAGUUGCUAGACCAUGAAUCUUGGACCAUCAUGCCCAACAUGUGGGAAAAUCUUAUGUUAGUUUGCUCAGGCUACUAUAACAUAAUAGCACAGACUUUAAACUCUGAACUUCUUAAGCACAGAAAAUGUGCUUUGAUCCAUCUUUGUGUCCCCUGCACCUACUACCGUGCUUAGCCCAGAGUCACGGAUCAAGAGAUACUUUUGGAAUGAAUAAUAUAAAGACAAAAUUAUGACUCUGAAUAAUGAUAUUGGCAACUUAACUAAAGAUGUCUGAUGAGCCCCAAAUACUCAAAAUUUUGAAUGCAGACUCCCAAAACGUAUGUGAUAAAAUGCACUAAGACCAUGACUAAAGCUUUAUGUCUAUAUGUUUAUGUUUAUAACUUUAUGAGUAUCGUUUAAGACUGAAGUUUUAUGACUAAAGAUGGUUUGAGAAGCACCAUUAGAUUAGAUGUCAGAAAAUCUGGCUUCGUAUCUUGGGUAUUCCACAAGCUGUGUAACAUUGCACCCCUUACUUCAUCUUUCUGUCUUGAUUCCCUCAUCAAUAGAUAAAAGUUUAAUUACAUCCAUUCAAAUGCUCCAGCAGUUCAUGAACAAUUAACUUGAAAAUGAAAAAUUUCAGAGCUUCCGCAAUCAGGUGGAAAUUUACCUUCCCAAGUUGAUUUCCUAAGUCAUCAGCUCCCACCAGCCUGCCCUGUGCCUUGUUAGCUGGCUUCUGCCCCACUUCUGCUGAUACUUCCUGCCGCUCUUCUCACCUCUGUGAUUCUUAACCGUUCUUCAAGACCCAGACCCAUGUCCAUCUCCUUGAAGCUUCCCAGACCGCACACAUUGGGAGUUUGUGUGUAGUGUAUGUGAGCCCCUCAAGGACAGAGCACGACUGAUUCUUUGCUGCUGCCUCCAGAAGCCCCCACAACAUACUUUGCAAAGAGUCCAGCAUGGAAUAAAGGGAAUAUUGUGGCUUCACUCCCCUUCACCUCCCGGCAGACUUCAUAGCCUUCACUGCACUCAACUCCAAGGCCCAACAUUUCAAAGAUAUGAAGAACCCAAAGACCUCUGUCCCACAAAUUAGUUACUGAUGAGGCAAAAGGAUCUGGUGCCUGUUUCCUCACAUUUAUUUCGAACAUGCACAAUGGUCUUGAUCUGUUUCGGGAGUAUUCGGGAUGGGACAUGGCUGGGCCUAACGGUCAGCCAGCCUCCGUGUUUCACCAUGGACACGCAUAGCCCUCAGGAAGACAACUGAGGAGUCUAGAAUUGAGAAUUUAAGCUAACUUAUUUAAAAUAAUCUUCGACUUUCUCAUUACUAAUAUAUAUGUAGCUUCUACAAAGUUACAAAAACACCUGGAACAUAUGCUACAACAACUUUCACUGUCAUUCACAGUAACUAAUCCCAAAGAAUUGUGAAAUCCGGUUUCGUGCAUCGCUGAUGCAGAGUUAAAGCUAAUUUACUUUUCAGAUUCGACAUAUAUUCAUGAUUCUAUUCCAAAGUGUAAAACUGAUAUUUAGUAGUGUAACUCCCGGCUAAAUGUCACACCAGUUCAUCUGACGCACUUUGUGGUACUGUGAUAUUACAGUGCUCCUGGGGGCAAAGCCACCAGCAUUUGAAUUCGCAGACUGAAGUAAGCCUACACUGGCCCCACCCCAUGCCUCCCAGGAAAAGAAAGGAGAGAGUCUUUUGUAUGUUGCAAGUCCUGGUCUGGUUUAUUUAUAAAGCAAUAAAUAUUAGAAGCACAAAUAAAUUGCACAUGUGUAAACAAACUGUACA